ACCUCCUGUGGCGUGAUGGGUCAGUGUGCCUGGCUGUUAACCAGAAGGUUGGUGGUUCGAGCCCACCCAGAGAUG